rnacentral:rRNA from 1 species
AGCAGCCGCGGUAAUUCCAGCUCCAAUAGCGUAUAUUAAAGUUGUUGCAGUUAAAAAGCUCGUAGUUGAAUUUCGGGAUCAGUACGCUGGUCGUGCCUUUGGUAUGUACUGGUGUCACUGAUUCCUCCCUUCUGAAGAACCGUUAUGCCAUUUAUUUGGUGUGGCGGGGAAUCAGGACUGUUACUUUGAAAAAUUAGAGUGUUUAAAGCAGGCUCGCGCUUGAAUACAUUAGCAUGGAAUAAUGAAAUAGGACGUUUGAUCUUAUUUUGUUGGUUUCUAGGAUCGACGUAAUGAUUAAUAGGGAUAGUUGGGGGCAUUAGUAUUCAAUUGUCAGAGGUGAAAUUCUUGGAUUUAUUGAAGACUAACUACUGCGAAAGCAUUUGCCAAGGAUGUUUUCAUUAAUCAAGAACGAAAGUUAGGGGAUCGAAGACGAUCAGAUACCGUCGUAGUCUUAACCAUAAACUAUGCCGACUAGGGAUCGGAUGAUGUAAUUUUUAAUGACUCAUUC